CAUAGUCUUCUCUUGAGUAAGACAGCUGAACUUGAGCUUCCUCCCUCUCACACCUCAGCCUGUAUUCCUCCUGAGCAGUCCUCUCUCUACCCAACCACUCAUCGUGAAGCCGCAGCCUUUCAGAAAACACAAACAGAAAGAACAGAACUCAUCGUGAAGCCGCAGUCUUACAGAAAAUACAAACAGAAAGGACAGAACUCAUUCUGGUGGAUUAAAGAGGUCUGUUCAUCACUACAGGCUCAAGAAGACGGAUAUACCUUUCCUGCUCAGCAACAUCCUCUUCUUCAUUUAUUUCCUCUUCCUCUAAAGGUCCAUUGAUUGUUUCAUUGUUGAACCCUAUGAAAGGAGAAAUGUUGUGGUUAAUGUGAAGGAACAAGUGUAUGAAUAUAUAAAUAUAUAAUAACA